rnacentral:rRNA from 1 species
AUACGUAGGGAGCGGGCGUUGUCCGGAAUUACUGGGUGUAAAGGGAGCGUAGGCGGGAGUGCAAGUCAGAUGUGAAAUACAUGGGCUCAACCCAUGGGCUGCAUUUGAAACUGCAUUUCUUGAGUGAAGUAGAGGGAAGCGGAAUUCCUGGUGUAGCGGUGAAAUGCGUAGAUAUCAGGAGGAACACCGGUGGCGAAGGCGGCUUACUGGGCUUUUACUGACGCUGAGGCUCGAAAGCGUGGGGAGCAAACAGGAUUAGAUACCCUGGUAGUCCACGCUGUAAACGAUGAUUACUAGGUGUGGGGGGACUGACCCCUUCCGUGCCGCAGUUAACACAAUAAGUAAUCCACCUGGGGAGUACGGCCGCAACGUUGAAACUCAAAUGAAUUGACGGGG